rnacentral:lncRNA from 12 species
UUUUGCACUGCCGCUGAUGACAAUUCACUGUGAGGAGUUCAAAGCUUUCGUAACUAUGGCUCUACCUUCAUGCAUAACUUUUCUUGGUUAUGUUGGCACCAUGACUUCUGGCUCUGAGCCCAGCUGCAAGGAGAGACGUGUGCCUCCCACCACCUCCUCCCAGAAGGAUGUCAUCGAGGCAACCCCGCAAGGUCCUAGCAUCUGGCCAAAUGGAAGAACAGCAAAUGACUGGAUGGAAAGAUUCCAGACAGAGCUGGAGGACUGGCAGCUGGAUCUCGCCCUCACUAUGUUCUGUGCACUUAAUUGGUAUUGCAAUUAUCAUGUAAUUAAAGAACAUCAUAACAUGUACAAGUAGGUUGAAUUAAUAUUACUUAGGCAG